UACGUAGGGCGCAAGCGUUGUCCGGAUUCAUUGGGCGUAAAGGGUGCGUAGGUGGUGGGGUAAGUCGGAUGUGAAAUCCCGGGGCUCAACCCCGGAACUGCAUUCGAUACUGCCUUGCUCGAGUACUGGAGAGGAGACUGGAAUUUACGGUGUAGCAGUGAAAUGCGUAGAUAUCGUAAGGAAGACCAGUGGCGAAGGCGAGUCUCUGGACAGUUACUGACACUGAGGCACGAAGGCCAGGGGAGCAAACGGG
rnacentral:rRNA from 1 species